rfam:Trichobilharzia regenti genome assembly, scaffold: TRE_scaffold0029553
GUACUGAUGAAGAGUCCUCGACCAGGACGAAACAGCUGUCCAGUAC